rfam:Stegodyphus mimosarum contig6454, whole genome shotgun sequence.
GCAUUGGUGGUUCAGUGGUAGAAUGCUCGCCUGCUACGAGGGCGGCUCGGGUUUGAUUCCCGGUCCAUGCA